rnacentral:rRNA from 1 species
UGGGGAAUAUUGGGCAAUGGAGGGAACUCUGACCCAGCGACGCCGCGUGCGGGAUGAAGGCCUUCGGGUUGUAAACCGCUUUCAGCAAGGAAGAAGCGAAAGUGACGGUACUUGCAGAAGAAGCACCGGCUAACUAUGUG